GAUGAACGCUGACAGAAUGCUUAACACAUGCAAGUCAACUUGAACUUCGGUUUGGGUGGCGGACGGGUGAGUAACGCGUAAAGAACUUGCCUCACAGAUAGGGACAACAUUUGGAAACGAAUGCUAAUACCUGAUAUUAUGAUUUUAGGGCAUCCUAGGAUUAUGAAAGCUAUAUGCACUGUGAGAGAGCUUUGCGUCCCAUUAGCUAGUUGGAGAGGUAACGGCUCACCAAGGCGAUGAUGGGUAGCCGGCCUGAGAGGGUGAUCGGCCACAAGGGGACUGAGACACGGCCCUUACUCCUACGGGAGGCAGCAGUGGGGAAUAUUGGACAAUGGACCAAGAGUCUGAUCCAGCAAUUCUGUGUGCACGAUGAAGUUUUUCGGAAUGUAAAGUGCUUUCAGUUGGGAAGAAAAAAAUGACGGCACCAACAGAAGAAGUGACGGCUAAAUACGUGCCAGCAGCCGCGGUAAUACGUAUGUCACAAGCGUUAUCCGGAUUUAUUGGGCGUAAAGCGCGUCUAGGUGGUUAUGUAAGUCUGAUGUGAAAAUGCAGGGCUCAACUCUGUAUUGCGUUGGAAACUGUAUAACUAGAGUACUGGAGAGGUAAGCGGAACUACAAGUGUAGAGGUGAAAUUCGUAGAUAUUUGUAGGAAUGCCGAUGGGGAAGCCAGCUUACUGGACAGAUACUGACGCUAAAGCGCGAAAGCGUGGGUAGCAAACAGG
rnacentral:rRNA from 1 species